UGGGGAAUUUUGGACAAUGGGCGAAAGCCUGAUCCAGCAAUGCCGCGUGUGUGAAGAAGGCCUUCGGGUUGUAAAGCACUUUUGUCCGGAAAGAAAUCCUUGGCUCUAAUACAGUCGGGGGAUGACGGUACCGGAAGAAUAAGCACCGGCUAACUACGUGCCAGCAGCCGCGGUAAUACGUAGGGUGCAAGCGUUAAUCGGAAUUACUGGGCGUAAAGCGUGCGCAGGCGGUUUGCUAAGACCGAUGUGAAAUCCCCGGGCUCAACCUGGGGACUGCAUUGGUGACUGGCAGGCUAGAGUAUGGCAGAGGGGGGUUAGAAUUCCACGUGUAGCAGUGAAAUGCGUAGAGAUGUGGAGGAAUACCGAUGGCGAAGGCAGCCCCCUGGGCCAAAUACUGACGCUCAUGCACGAAAGCGUGGGGAGCAAACAGGAUUAGAUACCCUGGUAGUCCACGCCCUAAACGAUGUCAACUAGUUGUUGGGGAUUCAUUUCCUUAGUAACGUAGCUAACGCGUGAAGUUGACCGCCU
rnacentral:rRNA from 1 species